AUGCUUGUGACGAGUCCCAAAUAGGACGAAACGCGCGUCAUGGAU
rnacentral:hammerhead_ribozyme from 1 species